rnacentral:rRNA from 1 species
AUAUAAAAAAACUCCCGAGUGAUUAAAAUUUAGACCCACAAGUCAAAAUACAACAUCACUUAUUGAUCCAAUAAUUUUUGAUCAACGGAAC